rnacentral:lncRNA from 1 species
AUGCCGUGUGGUGUCAACAUUUAUUCUCUUCAAUAUUUAUUCACCUCAAAGGGGAGAGCAGAGCGUGCAGCCUCAGUGUAUGGCCUCGGGGUAUGGCCUGGAAAUAAAAGCGAAUCGAUUCAGCUUCCUGGCACAGGCGGCAAGGUCAAUUUAACCCACCUCCCCAAAGAAGUGGGCCAGGAGGAAUGCAUUACUCUCGGAGCAAGCUGGAAAGGGCUCCGCACCACAUGUACUGUGUGCCUGCUCCUGCUCCGUCACAACCACGGUGGUGCCGGAGGAACUGGGAGACGCAGCGAGCGGAGCCUGGCGGGCGCUGGCCUGCAGGAGGAAGUGAACCUGGAGCUGUGCACGGCGGGAGGAUGGAGCCGGCUGGGUGCCCGCCUCCUGACUUGUCCAUCAGCGCUGAGCACCCUUGUGCCUCUCCCUUGCCCACCCAAGGCCUGGGCAUGGAGGAGCCCCCCCCAGGUGUGGAAGGAGCCCAAGAUGCCAGGAGCCCCAGGCGUCCAAGGAAGCAACCAUCCUAGGCUCGAGGCCAGCAGAGGGGCGUCCUUGAGGGUUGUGCCCCUGCCAGUGCCGGUGCAGGGAUGAGGAAUGGAUCAGACACGCACUGGCCCGUGUCGGCGCUGGGAACGGUUUCUGUCCUCAAGUGGAAGUUGUUUCGUGGUUAUCACGGGAAGGAUUGAACGGAAAAGGAAAUCAAAGUUCAUGCUGUGCUUCUGUGUCCUAAUGUUCUCUCUGAGGCCACGGAAAAUCACACCGCCUGCCCGUCACGUGGGGCGGCCACGUGUUGGCAGGAGCGCCUGUCACACAGGCGGCAGAAGCGAUGCUAUCUGUGACAACAAGGACAUGGGGUGACUCAGGGAGAGGCUGAGUUUUAGGGGUACUGCUGCUGCUCACCACGAAACGGCGGCAUGGAGCUCGCAGCCCUGCAAACCACACACACGCGUGGGCUCCUCCGUCAGCACCACGAGUCAAGUCAGCUCUUGGAGUCCAGGGGUCAGUAGGCUGUUAAUGAUGGCCUCGCGAAGCUCAGCUUAUUUUCCAAGACAAAAGCAGUCGAGACGCAGCCCACGAAGAGGACCGCCAGCAGGGCACCCCCCAGCAGUUGCAUGCGAAGCGCCGGUUCAGGAGAGAACACGGUGGGGAGGGUUGUGUGGAUCACCGGGACCAGGUCAGAGGGAGAGUCUACACCGGGGGCUCAGCUGCACCCCCACCCCCGCUGCUGCCACGUCUUCCCGAGGAUGCGGCCGCGCCGUGGGCCCUGGGCUUCUGUAGCUCCUGGGUCCCUGCACCUCCCCUCCGCCGUGUAUUCAUAGACAUUUAGUGACGCGCUGCUUCACGGGUGGUGUGCAGACAGGAUGCUGCCCUGGCCAUGGCUCACCUGGCUGCUGCCGCGGUCUCUGCUCUCCUUGCAGUGUGGACGGGACCUUGGAGGUCUGUGAAGCGCAGCUCCUGGCUGACCUCUGGCUGACUGUGAGCUAGGAAAGGGGUAGAAGGACCUACAGCAUCCAAGAGAGAAGGAGGGCAGGAAAGAGCAGGACGGCGGCCAUGUGGCCGCGUCUCCGUCAGCUGCGUUCACUUUGGUUCCUCGCUGGAGGGCAGGCUUCCCCGCCCCAGUCCCCUCUCGGACCUGGAACGCCAGCCACCAGCCCCGCGAGGUGGCCAGCCCCCACCAUGCCAUGAGAGCCUGCCUGCGACCUCGGGACUUCUUUCUCCAUUCCUGGAUCCAUGUUCACUGCCGAUGAGCAAGGUGACCUCAACACAGCAGCCACCACUUCUCUCUCUGCAGGGUUAUCUUCUGCGGGGCUGGGGUUGCAAAGCCAGCACGCUACAGCAGAGCUGCGGUUGGAGUCCCGGCUGCCCCACUCCCAACCUGGCUCCCGGCUAAUGCCCCUGGGAAAGCAGCAGAAGAUGGCCCCUGCACUCACGUGGGAGGCCUGGAUGGAGUUCCAGGCCCCUGGCUUUGGCCUGGUUCAGACCUCACUGCUGUGGCCAUUUGAGGAGUGAACCAGCUGACGGAAGAGCCCCUCUCUCUCUCUCUGUCUUUUGCGCUCACUCACUCUCUUCUAUUUCUCCCUGUCACCUGCCUUUCCAAUAAAUAAAGGCAUCUUUUUACA